rnacentral:lncRNA from 1 species
UGUUUACUGGAGACACAGGUAUACAAGAUCCACAAAUACAUAAGAAUUUACAGAGCUGAGUAUGAAAGACUGCAAAAGGUCUGCGCUGGGGAUCCAAAGGAGCCAGUCAGAGGCCUGGAGCUCUGAGCAGUGUUCCGUGCAAGUUAUUUCAGGGGCCAAAUGGUCUGCGCUGGAAUAGUCCCUUCACUGGUGGCGAUGGAUACUGAGGACUUGACCCAGGGCCAUCACACUGAGCUACAUCCAUGGCCCCUUGCCAGAUUAUCCAAGCUGAUCUCGAAUUUGGGAGCCCUGCCUUGGCCUCCCAAGCAGCUGAGAUUACAAGUGUGUACCACCCCUCACCUGGUUCUGAGAUUGAAUACACUUUGGCAUUGUCAUGGUUUAUGUCUGUGUCCCCCAGGCCUCAUGAGUUUGAAUUGUGCAUUUGUUAUUCGUUCAUUGUAUAGUGCUUGGAUUGAUGGUGUUAGUGCUACACUCACUUAGGGGUGGAGCUAGGAUGUGAUUUAAUGGCAGGAAGAAGGUGUGUCUUGCUCUUUGCUAGUUCCGGCUUGCGGCCACCAUGAACUGCAGCCCAACCAUGUCCGCCUGUCUUGGAGCCAACUGAGUAUGGACUGAAACCUCCAAAAAGUGUAAGAAAUAAACCUUUCCUUUCCCAACUUGGACAUCAGGUAUUUUUGUCUCAGUGACGAGCAUAAAGUAACUAAGACAGGCAUCAUGUGCCCAUCCUUCUGAGCCUCCACACCGUAACCAGCAUUCUACUCUCCACUUGUAUUAGUUUUAGUUUCCAUCUCUACAUCAGAAUUUGUACUUGCCUUUUAGUGCCUGACUUAUUUUACUAUUAUAGUGUUUGCCAAUUCCAUCUAUACUGUCACAGAUGACAGAAUUUCUGGCUGAGUUGUAACUCAGUAGUAGAAUUUGAGCUUAGCAUGUGCAGGGUUCUGGAUUCAGUACCACUAUACCUCCUUCCAAGAAAGAGAAGAAAAUUAAUUAAAUGAUAAGUUUCUUUCUUUCUUAGGCCUGAAUAUGUGUGUAUGUACAUGUGACCACACUUUCUUCACUCAAACAUCCUUUGAUGUACAUAUGUUGACCCCAUAACAUGGCUAUUAUGAAUCAUGCUACAGUAAUCAUGGGAGUACUGACACCUUUGUGAUACACUGAUUGCCAAAGUAAGAUUGCUGGAUUGUUGGAACCUAGGACCCUGGGAAGCAAAGCAAGCACCUCUCCUCCCUGGUAAUCGGUGGCAGUGUGACAGACUGCAGCCCUUCCAGGGGGAGAAUUAGCAGCAGCUCCUGAGAUCCGCGCCAUGUUGGAACUUAGGACGCUGUGAAACCAAACAACCAGCCCGCCUCCCUGCUAAGCAAUAGUGAACCUACUGAUGCACGGCCUAGAGUCAAAUAUCCCACUUCCCCUACCCUCUCUCUCUCCCCUCGCCCCCACUGCCAUUAGCAAAUGGGAACCAGAAAUCUGAGCAUCUCCUGGGAGGUUGACCAUAGCAAAUAAGGGGGACUUCCUUCUACCAUCUCUUUGAAGGCAAAUAUUUUUGUUACUGUUUUGCUCUUUUCUGAUUAAUGGUACUGCUCUAUUCAAUAUUCUGUUUUGAUAAGUUCUAUAGUGUUCUAUAUUUCAUCUCAAUUUGAUAUACGUGAUGGAAAGAACUAUUAUAAAGAUAACAAAAUAUACUGUGAUACCUAUUAGUUAUCCCUAUAACCUGCUGUGAAGUUCUGUACUAAUUUCACUGUACGAUCUUAGUUGGCUUUAUUCUGUCUUGUUCUGUUGUAUACUUUCAAAAUAAAAUUAAAAAAAAAAAGAUUGCUGGAUUGUGUAUUUUUUGGUAUUUUUGAGGCAGGUUCUCACUAUGCAGUUCAGGCUGGCCUUGACUUCAUUUUGUAACCCAGGUGGGUCUGGAACUCGCCACAAU